GAUGAAGAACGUAGCGAAAUGCGAUAAGUAGUGUGAAUUGCAGAAUUCAGUGAAUCAUCGAAUCUUUGAACGCACAUUGCGCCCUUUGGUAUUCCAAAGGGCAUGCCUGUUCGAGCGUCAUUUGUACCCUCAAGCUUUGCUUGGUGUUGGGCGUCUUGUCUCUAGCUUUGCUGGAGACUCGCCUUAAAGUAAUUGGCAGCCGGCCUACUGGUUUCGGAGCGCAGCACAAGUCGCACUCUCUAUCAGCAAAGGUCUAGCAUCCAUUAAGCCUUUUUUUCAACUUUUGACCUCGGAUAAGGUAGGGAUACCCGCUGAACUUAAGCAUAUCAAUAAGCGGAGGA
rnacentral:misc_RNA from 1 species